rnacentral:rRNA from 1 species
AAUCAACGCUGGCGGCGUGCCUCAGACAUGCAAGUCGAACGAUUAAAGCUCUCUUCGGGGAGUGCAUAAAGUGGCGCACGGGUGAGUAACACGUAAGUAAUCUACCUUCGAGUGGGGAAUAACGUCCGGAACGGACGCUAAUACCGCAUAACGCAGCGGCAUCGCAAGAUGACAGUUGUUAAAGAUUUAUCGCUUGAAGAGGAGCUUGCGGCAGAUAGCUUGUUGGUAAGGUAACGGCUUACCAAGGCUACGAUCUGUAUCCGGUCUAAGAGGACGGUCGGACACACUGACACUGAAUAACGGGUCAGACUCCUACGGGAGGCAGCAGUCGGGAA